GGACCCGCACAAGCAGUGGAGCAUGUGGUUUAAUUCGAAGAUACGCGCAGAACCUUACCAACACUUGACAUGUUCGUCGCGAGCCUAAGAGAUUAGGCUUUUCAGUUUGGCUGGACGAAACACAGGUGCUGCAUGGCUGUCGUCAGCUCGUGUCGUGAGAUGUUGGGUUAAGUCCCGCAACGAGCGCAACCCCCUACUUUUAGUUGCCACCAUUUAGUUGGGCACUUUAAAAGAACUGCCAGUGAUAAGCUGGAGGAAGGUGGGGAUGACGUCAAGUCCUCAUGGCCCUUAUGUGUUGGGCUACACACGUGCUACAAUGGCACUUACAAUGGGAAGCAAAGAGGCGACUCCUAGCUAAUCCCUAAAAUGUGUCUCAGUUCGGAUUGUACUCUGUAACUCGAGUGCAUGAAGCUGGAAUUGCUAGUAAUCG
rnacentral:rRNA from 1 species